CCCCUGCUGCCGACAUGGUGACGAGGCGAAGGUUGUGUGUGUAUAUUGGAGAUCUGGGUACUGGCUCUCGUUGGCGGCCUGUAUCUUUUGUUUUGCACCGCGGAACGUGAGCUGGGAGCGGGGGGUGUUGCUCUGAGAGAGAGAUCGGGAAGCGGUCAGGUGUUUUUGCACUUUUGUUUGCCCGCUGGGGUUAAGCGGGUCUUAAAGUGAGCUGGUUGUGGAGAUAAGAAGCCCCUGUCGUCUCCUGAAGUUUCCCCCUCCCAGCUCAGGUCCUGUUAAUGCCGUGUCUGGAAACUGAAAGGCGGCUCAGUGGAUGAAGUGGAUGAAGCGGAUUUACCUGUCGAGGGCACCCAGGUUGGGGUCUAAUUAAGCCCCCCCAGGAUUUCUGAUGAGGCCUCAUCUUUCAGAGCAAGAAAAGGUGUUGAACAGGCCUCCUCUGAUAAUUUCAGUGCUACAGGGCCCAGGAUGAGGGUGCCAGUUGAACAGGAACAUGCUGCCGUUCACACUUGUCUGAUCUGUGGCCUGUUCAAAGCAUUGCUCUGUUGUGUAAAGCCUGCCGGACACUACAACAGGGGGUCUCGCAGUCUGGGCCUUCCUGCAGCUCACAGAACCCUGGUUCCUCGGGCCUGAGCGCCGGUUAGGAUCAAGAGCAGUUGGGUCCACUGUCUCUAUUCUGCAGCACAGCUGGAUUUGAAUGCAAUGCAUUGCACUCCUAGACCGCCAAGCAUUCCUUCAACAAUGCCGUCUGGCUCCGAGUGUCUUGCGACAACCGAUUGCAAAGCAGGCGCUGUUUCGCUGUUUGCAGAUCUGUUGUGCUGCAUUGGAUGAAACACCGCUGGUCUCGCUACUACUAUUGCACCAGCAGGGCAGGCCGCAAGCGACAGGGCUCAGGGGGCGAGUGCUGCCGUUUCUCUGUUGUUGUGGCAAGUGGCUGCCCCUCUACCGGGAAACGUGAGCGAAUUGCGUUUGAAGAUUUGUAAGGGGGGAGGGCAGCGGCCUCUACGUGUCACCCCUCAGCAAUGGGCCUCCGAACGCUGCGCAACGCAAAAUUCGCUCCCCCCUGCUCAGCGCCUGUUUGGCAGUGGGUUGUCGCGAGACUCUCGGAGCCAGAAAGCAUCGUUGAAGGAACUGUCGGCGGUCUAGACAGGAAAGGGAGAGGACUGCGCCAAGCAGGAGGGAAAAGGAAAGGAACCACAAGAGCCAUUUCUCCUGUGAGAGCUGGCCAGUGUCCCUGACUGGGGGGCUCACCUCCCCAUGCUCCGCCGCACAUCAGCUCCACCUCCACUGGUCACAAAGCCACGAUUCUCCAACGCAAAACUCCGUCCCUCCAACAGACGGCAUGGGAAUCUCCACGGGAACCUUCUUUGACUUCCCUGACCCCCCAAACAAUUUUCCCACCUCAGCAUUCCAAGCCACGGAAAUCACUAAUCAGAAAGAUCUGGAAGAGCCCAGAGAUGGGGAUAAUGCAAUACUGCCGAAUAGGAAGCUUUUAUUAAUCUCGGCGUAAUGGGCUUUCAAGAUUUUUUCUAACUAUUGAAAAACGGAGACUGGAGAUCCUUAUACUUGCACUCUCAAAUACAGUCACACCCACACACAGAGCCUAUCUGCGCCCUGUUUAAGUGGAAAAAAACCUCUGGCAGGCAGAGAGCCGGUAUUACAAUGUACUAACAGGGAUGUGUGGCGAAUUGAUUUUCCUGGGCUUUCAAGGUUAGUGAGGAAAUGCUAUCAAAGGCUACAUAAAUGAAUUAUAUAUCCUCCCACUGUGAAAGGUGGAUUUACAUAAGCCUGUUAAGCUCCAUUAAAAAAAGUCUGUCAAAAAAUAAAUGCUUUGA